ACGACGUUACUUGAACAGGAUUCAUUCUCUAGGCUCGUACCACCUUAUCCUUGAGUUCUAAGGAGACAGGAAACUAAGUCUGGCUACCCUUUGAAUUGAUCGCUGAAAGUAUAUAUGAGCCGAAGACA
rnacentral:snoRNA from 1 species